rnacentral:misc_RNA from 1 species
GGGGCUAAUGACUGGGGUGAAGUCGUAACAAGGUAGCCGUACCGGAAGGUGCGGCUGGAUCACCUCCUAACAGGGAGACAACAAAAUGUUUAAUAUUAUUUUGUCACCUUAGGUCGAUCGGUAUCUCACGUUCUUAAUUAAUUAAGAAUUUCAUUUCCUAAGUUUUUCUAGGUCACACCCAUUAUUUUUCCUGGGCCAUUAGCUCAGGUGGUUAGAGCGCACCCCUGAUAAGGGUGAGGUCCCUGGUUCAAGUCCAGGAUGGCCCAUAUCUCUAUGUUGGGGGUAUAGCUCAGUUGGUAGAGCGCCUGCUUUGCAAGCAGGAUGUCAGCGGUUCGAGUCCGCUUACCUCCACUGAUUACCACCUCUUCCAUAAUCUGUAGAAAGGAAAUGUUUUGAGUUGUGAUCUAAUUCUGAACGAAUCUAGCUUCCUAAUGAAAGUAUUAAGAUGCUGGACUCAUUGAAUUAAUUUCAUUGUUUUCAGAGAACCUUGACAACUGCAUAGAUUAUUUUUUAAAGACAAUAAGCAUCUUUAAUGAUGCAGAUUUAUUAUUUGUGCGAAUGCAUUAAUAACAAUUCUAUUAAGCUGAUGCUUCAAUUUUGAAGUUAUUGGUCAAGCUACAAAGGGCUCACGGAGGAUACCUAG